UGUACUUUAAUAGAGUUUUCCCCACUAAAUGAAUCGGUAAUUUAUUCCAUUUACUGGAGAGCCUGAAUAAAAGGACGACGGGAAGGUGGCCAUAUAAUCGAAUCUGGUCACGAAGUGAAUUGGUUUUGGAAGAGGACUUAUCGCGAGAGA
ensembl:ncRNA T28B11.3 ncRNA